AAAUUUUCCUAAAAUAAAAGCUAAACCAAGCAAAUCUAUCUAGAAGGAGAUCAAAAUUCUUUUUAUAGCAGCUAAUUUAAAAGUGAGCUUCUCUUUCGGUCGUCACCUGCCAGAGCCUCCAUCAUCGGUGGCCAGAGGAGUCUGCCAUCGUCACCGGCCAGAGCCUCUAUCGUCACUGGCCAUAGCCUCCAUCAUUGCCGGAAUACUUGGUCUUUCUCUAAGCUCUAGCCAUAGUUAUUCUGAAGGAGGUUGGUUAAAAGCAACAACACAAUGUCAAACUUAUAGAAGGUUAAUGAUGAAAAAGUCAAGUUCAAAGCCCCACUUGUGAUUUGGAGAAUACUUAUAUCAACACAAUGGCAACCUCUCUAAAGAGUGAAAUUCCUAGUUAUGAUGUAACUGCUUUGAAGGACAUACAUCUAAGGUUUUUGGUUGUGCUUGGAGUCCAAAAGGGUCUUUUCUUGCAUCUGGCAAAUAAUAUGUCUAGAUAUGGAGCAUGAAACAAGAAGCCUACUUGCAUGAUUUCGGAGAACAUUUCAAAGAAAUAUCUACCAUCAAAUGGAGUCCAACUGGUACUGGUUCAAGCAAUACAAAUCAAAAGUUGUUGCUGACAAGGUAAUCUAUGUAUUGGUACUAGUCAUGUUUAUAGUAUUCUACUAGCUUUCUGAAGAAACCUCAAAAUACAUCCUUGCUAUGUGGUUUCUGGAAGAGCCAAGGAUGGCUACCAAGCCAUGGAGUGUAACUCCAUCUCAUUGAAUCAAUGAAUCAUGAGGACAUGUUUGAAGAUACAUACAUUUGAUAUGCCUAAUAGUAUUUUUGAUAACGACUUGUAUCUUUUGCACGUAGUAGAGAUAAAUCUCAUUAAGCACAAUUAUGUAUACAAAAGAUAUUUUUAACAUGUUAACAACAACUUUCUGGUAUUGUUGUACGUGAAUGAAUUUAGAAUGCUCAAUUGCAUGCAGAUCAA